AUUGAACGCUGGCGGCAUGCUUUACACAUGCAAGUCGAACGGUAACAGGCCGCAAGGUGCUGACGAGUGGCGAACGGGUGAGUAAUGCAUCGGAACGUGCCCAGUCGUGGGGGAUAACUACUCGAAAGAGUAGCUAAUACCGCAUACGAUCUAUGGCUGAAAGCGGGGGACCGUAAGGCCUCGCGCGAUUGGAGCGGCCGAUGUCAGAUUAGGUAGUUGGUGGGGUAAAGGCUCACCAAGCCAACGAUCUGUAGCUGGUCUGAGAGGACGACCAGCCACACUGGGACUGAGACACGGCCCAGACUCCUGCGGGAGGCAGCAGUGGGGAAUUUUGGACAAUGGGCGCAAGCCUGAUCCAGCAAUGCCGCGUGCAGGAAGAAGGCCUUCGGGUUGUAAACUGCUUUUGUACGGAACGAAACGGCUCUGGUUAAUACCCGGGGCUAAUGACGGUACCGUAAGAAUAAGCACCGGCUAACUACGUG
rnacentral:rRNA from 1 species